ACUGGAAAUAGGGGAGUAGCAAAUCAAUCUACUACUGGCAGAUGAAGUAGCAUUGGAAGAAUGGGAUAGUACUAAGCAGGGAAAGAUGCAGAUUGAGCAACUACUGAAUGGCGAAGAGGGGAGAAUAAAAUUCUACUAGGCAGGGGAGGAGAGAAUGGGUUACUAUUGGGCAGGAAAUGUGACAGAAUUACCUAAUACUGGGCUCAGGGAUGGGCUACUACUGGACAAGGG